rnacentral:rRNA from 1 species
UACAGAGGGGGCAAGCGUUGUUCGGAAUUACUGGGCGUAAAGAGCGCGCAGGCGGUCGUUCAAGUCGAGUGUGAAAGCCCCCGGCUCAACUGGGGAGGGUCACUCGAUACUGAUCGACUUGAAGGCAGGAGAGGGAAGCGGAAUUCCCGGUGUAGUGGUGAAAUGCGUAGAUAUCGGGAGGAACACCAGUGGCGAAGGCGGCUUCCUGGCCUGUUCUUGACGCUGAGGCGCGAAAGAUAGGGGAGCAAACGGG